rnacentral:rRNA from 1 species
ACGUACACUCCUGCGGGAGGCAGCAGUGGGGAAUAUUGCACAAUGGGCGCAAGCCUGAUGCAGCCAUGCCGCGUGUAUGAAGAAGGCCUUCGGGUUGUAAAGUACUUUCAGCGGGGAGGAAGGCAAUACGGUUAAUAACCGUGUUGAUUGACGUUACCCGCAGAAGAAGCACCGGCUAACUCCGUGCCAGCAGCCGCGGUAAUACGGAGGGUGCAAGCGUUAAUCGGAAUUACUGGGCGUAAAGCGCACGCAGGCGGUCUGUCAAGUCGGAUGUGAAAUCCCCGGGCUCAACCUGGGAACUGCAUUCGAAACUGGCAGGCUUGAGUCUUGUAGAGGGGGGUAGAAUUCCAGGUGUAGCGGUGAAAUGCGUAGAGAUCUGGAGGAAUACCGGUGGCGAAGGCGGCCCCCUGGACAAAGACUGACGCUCAGGUGCGAAAGCGUGGGGAGCAAACAGGAUUAGAUACCCCAGUAGUCCCA